rnacentral:rRNA from 1 species
UACGUAGGGGGCAAGCGUUAUCCGGAAUUACUGGGUGUAAAGGGUGAGUAGGCGGCAUGGUAAGCCAGAUGUGAAAGCCUUGGGCUUAACCCGAGGAUUGCAUUUGGAACUAUCAAGCUAGAGUACAGGAGAGGAGAGCGGAAUUCCUAGUGUAGCGGUGAAAUGCGUAGAUAUUAGGAAGAACACCAGUGGCGAAGGCGGCUUUCUGGACUGAAACUGACGCUGAGGCACGAAAGCGUGGGGAGUGAACAGG